CCCCCAUCAGAAGGACAGGAGCACCGCGUCGCAGAGAGCCUCAGGAGUCAUCACAGGUAAGUUUUGUUGCAUUUUGGCAGUGGUCUGUUGCGGCCGCUGGAAGUGGGCCACUUGCAACAAUUUUGUCCGGCCGGCGAUUGCAGGUUAGUUGUUCUUGGUAUCGGCAUCCAUCGCUGCCGUCAUUUGGUGAGUAUCAGUUGUAUCGUCGGUGGCAGUUUUAUGCAAUUGUUUGAAUAUAUUGCAGAUAAAAUUGCCGUUCGUCAGGAAGAGGAGUUGCAAUGAGUUGCCCCACGCAGCCGUCAUUGCAUUUCUUGAGAGCCGCUGUCUAUAUGGUGGUGGAGUCGUCUCGUGGCGAAGAAGUCAUCAGAGAGGAUUGUGGCUCGGUCUGUCACCGAAGGAAGCCAGGUGCGCCGCGUCUUGUGGCCAUAGCGUCAGGAUUGGCAGCUUGGGGCCGCCGUUUUAAGAUUUGUAGCAGAGAGCCGCCGCAACGGAAUAGCCAUGGAAAUGGAUGCAAAAAUAGUAUUUGGUACAUUGAGUGGAAUUAAUUUAAGGUACUUAAAAAGGAAGCUAGUCUGGGGUGAGUAUUUUAUUGCUUUUUUUAAUUGCGUUGAUUUAUUUGCUUUUCAGGUACGUUUUGUGAGGGCUAAAUUGGAGGCCCUUGUUAUUGUGUUGUUGCAGCUGGAAUGCCACGAUUUUGGAGUCAUCAAGUUGUCAAUUAGAUAAGUAUUAUAUUGUAAUUAUAUUUUUCCCAGUAAUAGCUUGUGUUCCCUUGUUUCAAUAGUUGUGGUCUUGGAAGCUGGAGCUGCGUGCUUGUCGUCAGCAGGAUGAGGCCGUCCACUAGCAUCUGCUACUUUGUCUGUCCGGUUUGUUAUUAUUUAUGUGUCCUUGAUAAUUUUUGUAUCGCAUUCUUAUUUAAUUUCCUUUCAUUACAGGUUAGCGGAAAAUUCGUCGAAGAUACAGAACUGAGGAGAAAUAUACAAUUUAAGGACAGGAUUUGCAGCAUUUUGAUGUGGCAUCUGCGCCAUGCAAAUUAUCCUUAUUUAUGCUUUGGCGUCAGGAGAUGGAGACGGCAUCCUAAAAUUGUCAAUUUUUUGUGUUUGAAAUCGCGAAAGUUGGCGAUUUAGUUUUGCUUUUGCGCUGCCUGUCUCCUGAUUUACGUGCGCUUCAUCGGCAGGAUGAGCUCGUCAGGUUUGCAUUUUUCUGUGUGUCCUUGAUUAGUUUUGUAUUAUAUUCUUAUUAAUUUUCCUUUCCUUUCAGGUUAUCAGGAAAUCAUUGAAAAAACGGUGCUGGGGAAAUUUAUACAAUUUGGAGACGGAUUUUAAUUAUUUUUAAUAUGAUGUCAGCUCCGGGAUAGUAAUCCUUGUUAGUGCAGUGGCAUCAGGAGGAGGAGACGGCGUUGUAAGAUUGUCAAUUUAUUGUGUUUAUAAUCACGAAGGAUGGCGAUUUUGUUUUUUCUUUGCAGGGCUCGUCUUCUCUUUUUGGUUGCGUUGGAUCACCAGUUGGCUGUGUUUGUUGAGGUUUUGGCGUCUCUAGUGUAGGCGCUCGUCGAUCUGAGGGAAUUUAAGAGUAGCGGAUGGAUAGAUUCUGCAGCUCCGCGCUAAGUGCCCUGAGCGAAGCGUAGGCAGCUUAUAUGGCCCGUCUAUUGCAGUGCAGCACUGCAAGUAGAUUGCAUCGGUGAUAAGAGAUACUAAUCGGGAAACGUGUGGCAAGAAAGUUCAGGUAAGUGA